rnacentral:rRNA from 1 species
GCCUAAGACAUGCAAGUCGAACGAGAAGACCUUUGGAAGACUGAGUGCUUGCACAAAGUUAGAAGAAGAUCAUCUUCUAGUGGCAGACGGGUGAGUAACACGUGGGUAACCUACCUUCAAGCUGGGGAUAACAGUUGGAAACGACUGCUAAUACCGAAUAAGAUAUAUAGCAAUAUAUAUUGAAAGAAGCCUUUAAAGCUUCACUUAAAGAUGGGCCUGCGGCGUAUUAACUAGUUGGUGAGGUAAUGGCUCACCAAGGUGACGAUGCGUAGCCGAACUGAGAGGUUGAACGGCCACACUGGGACUGAGACACGGCCCAGACUCCUACGGGAGACAGCAGUUAGGAAUAUUCGUCAAUGGGGGAAACCCUGAACGAGCAAUGCCGCGUGAGUGAUGAAGGCCCUAUGGGUUGUAAAACUCUGUUGUAUGGGAAGAACGGCUAUAUUAGGAAAUGAAUAUAGAGUGACGGUACCAUACCAGAAAGCUCCGGCUAACUACGUG